rnacentral:rRNA from 1 species
AUUGAACGCUGGCGGCAGGCCUAAAACAUGCAAGUCGAACGAGUGGCGGACGGGCGAGCAAGGUAUGGGAAACUGCCUGAUGGAGGGGGAUAACUACUGGAAACGGUAGCUAAUACUGCAUACCAUCAGAUGUGCCCAGAUGGGAUUAGCUCGUUGGUGGGGUAACGGCUCACCAAGGCGACGAUCCCUAGCUGGUCUGAGAGGAUGACCAGCCACACUGGAACUGAGACACGGCCCAGACUCCUACGGGAGGCAGCGGUGGGGAAUAUUACACAAUGGGCGCAAGCCUGAUGGAGCCAUGCCGCGUGUAUGAAGAAGGCCUUCGGGUUGUAAAGUACUUUCAGCGGGGAGGCGUUACCCGCACAGGAAGCACCGGCUAACUCCGUGCCAGCAGCCGCGGUAAUAC